rnacentral:rRNA from 1 species
AUUGAACGCUGGCGGCAUGCCUUACACAUGCAAGUCGAACGGCAGCACGGGUGCUUGCACCUGGUGGCGAGUGGCGAACGGGUGAGUAAUACAUCGGAACAUGUCCUGUAGUGGGGGAUAGCCCGGCGAAAGCCGGAUUAAUACCGCAUACGAUCUACGGAUGAAAGCGGGGGACCUUCGGGCCUCGCGCUAUAGGGUUGGCCGAUGGCUGAUUAGCUAGUUGGUGGGGUAAAGGCCUACCAAGGCGACGAUCAGCAGCUGGUCUGAGAGGACGACCAGCCACACUGGGACUGAGACACGGCCCAGACUCCUACGGGAGGCAGCAGUGGGGAAUUUUGGACAAUGGGCGAAAGCCUGAUCCAGCAAUGCCGCGUGUGUGAAGAAGGCCUUCGGGUUGUAAAGCACUUUUGUCCGGAAAGAAAUCCUUGGCCCUAAUACGGUCGGGGGAUGACGGUACCGGAAGAAUAAGCACCGACUAACUACGUG